ACGGCACUAUGUCAAUUCAUCUGUUGGUAGGAGAGCGAGGACCAGAGACAAUCAGUCAGGAGGAGCAAUAAUCUUAAAGUUGGUUGGAAUCAGCUUUGGUCUGCUGUGCAUCAUCCAGUCUGCUGUUAAUGUUUAUAGCUGGCUCCAAGCUGAUGGGACUUCAGGUGGCUCAAAAAACAAUUCAACGUGCAAUAUCACCCUAUUGUCACCUGAUGACAUCUCAGCUGUACUCUUAGAGAGAGACCAGUUGCUUCAGGAGAAAAAACAACUUACUGAAGCGAAUGAUCGGCUGAAUCAAUAUAACGAAAGACUGCUUGAAGAAAACAGCCAGCUGUAUCGACAUGAAACACAACUCAUUCAAGAGAAAAAACAACUGGAGAAGAAGAACAAUGAGCUAAAGGCCACCAAUAGACACCUAACUGAACAGAAGAGGAUGUGUAAUGACAAUAUCAUCAGUCAACAAGUUCAGAUAAGGGAUCUUCAGUCCGAACUAGACAGGGUGAAAGAAUUGUGCCGCCCACUGCAGUGCAACCCUCUGCCUGUGCCAUCAAUGAUGCCUGUCCCCCCAAUGCCUC
ensembl:lncRNA